UACGAAGGGGGCUAGCGUUGUUCGGAAUUACUGGGCGUAAAGCGCACGUAGGCGGAUACUUAAGUCAGGGGUGAAAUCCCGGAGCUCAACUCCGGAACUGCCUUUGAUACUGGCGACCUUGAGGCUGGAAGAGGUUAGUGGAAUUCCCAGUGUAGAGGUGAAAUUCGUAGAUAUUGGGAAGAACACCAGUGGCGAAGGCGGCUAACUGGUCCAGAUCUGACGCUGAGGUGCGAAAGCGUGGGGAGCAAACAGG
rnacentral:rRNA from 1 species